GUAGGGAAUAUUGGGCAAUGGUCGGAAGACUGACCCAGCCAUGCCGCGUGCAGGAAGACGGCCCUCUGGGUUGUAAACUGCUUUUAUCUGGGAAGAAAAAGGCCAUGCGUGGCAAAUUGCCGGUACCAGAUGAAUAAGCAUCGGCUAACUCCGUGCCAGCAGCCGCGGUAAUACGGAGGGUGCGAGCGUUGUCCGGAUUUAUUGGGUUUAAAGGGUGCGUAGGCGGCUGAUUAAGUCAGCGGUGAAAGACUGCGGCUUAGCCGGGGCAGUGCCGUUGAUACUGGUUGGCUUGAGUGUCGGAGGGGUACAUGGAAUUGAUGGUGUAGCGGUGAAAUGCAUAGAUACCAUCAGGAACACCGAUAGCGAAGGCAUUGUACUGGCCGACAACUGACGCUGAUGCACGAAAGUGUGGGGAUCGAACAGGAUUAGAUACCCCGGUAGUCC
rnacentral:rRNA from 1 species